rnacentral:rRNA from 2 species
GGGUUGUGAGGUUAAGCGACUAAGCGUACACGGUGGAUGCCCUGGCAGUCAGAGGCGAUGAAGGGCGUGCUAAUCUGCGAUAAGCGCCGGUAAGGUGAUAUGAACCGUUAUAACCGGCGAUACCCGAAUGGGGAAACCCAGUGUGAUUCGUCACACUAUCAUUAACUGAAUCCAUAGGUUAAUGAGGCGAACCGGGGGAACUGAAACAUCUAAGUACCCCGAGGAAAAGAAAUCAACCGAGAUUCCCCCAGUAGCGGCGAGCGAACGGGGAGGAGCCCAGAGCCUGAAUCAGCAUGUGUGUUAGUGGA